GAGGGUAUAGCUCAGUGGUAGAGUGCCUGCUUAGCAUGCACGAGGUCCUGGGUUCAAUCCUGAAGACCUUCA
rnacentral:tRNA from 1 species